rnacentral:rRNA from 1 species
GACGAACGCUGGCGGCGUGCCUAAUACAUGCAAGUAGGACGCACUUGCGAAUGAUUGAGUAACGCGUAGGUAACUACCUAGUAGAGUGGGAUAACUGUUGGCAACGAUCGCUAAUCCCGCAUACUAGUAACUGGACCUGCGUUGGAUUAGCUAGUAGGUUGGGUAAUGGCCUACCUAGGCAACGAUACAUAGCCGACCUGGGAGGGGGAGCCGCCACACUGGGACAGGGAAACGGGCCAGACUCCUUCGGGAGGCAGCCGUAGGGAAUCUUCGGCCAUGGGGCGCACCCUGACCGAGCAAGGACGCGUGAGUGGAGAAGGUUUUCCGAUCGUAAAGCUCUGUUGAUAGGGAAGCGGUACUUACCCAGAAAGGAACGGCUAACUACGUGCCAGCAGCCGCGGUAAUUC